AGAGUUUGAUCCUGGCUCAGGAUGAACGCUAGCGGCAGGCCUAAUACAUGCAAGUCGUACGGGAUAGGCACUUCGGGUGUCUUGAGAGUGGCGCACGGGUGCGCAACGCGUAUGCAACCAACCCCCCGACGGGCGGAUAGCCGGUGGAAACGCCGGAUAAUACGCCAUGGUUCCGGGAAAGGGCAUCCUUUCCUGGAUAAAGCAGCGAUGCGGUCGGGACGGGCAUGCGUCCCAUUAGAUGGUAGGCGGGGUGACGGCCCACCUAGUCGACGAUGGGUAGGGGAUCUGAGAGGACGGUCCCCCACACUGGUACUGAGACACGGACCAGACUCCUGCGGGAGGCAGCAGUAAGGGAUAUUGGGCAAUGGUCGGAAGACUGACCCAGCCAUGCCGCCGUGAGGGAAUGAGGCCCUACGGGUCGUGAACCUCUUUUAUUCGGGGACAAGGCGGCGCACGGGAUGCGUUGUUGAGGGUACCGAAGGAAUAAGCAUCGGCUAACUCCGUGCCAGCCGCUGC
rnacentral:rRNA from 1 species